rnacentral:rRNA from 1 species
AGAGUGGCGCACGGGUGCGUAACGCGUAUGCAACCUACCUUUAACAGGUGAAUAGCCCCGAGAAAUCGGGAUUAAUACACCGUAACAUUGCGGGAUGGCAUCAUUCUGCAAUUAAAGAUUUAUCGGUUAAAGAUGGGCAUGCGUGACAUUAGCUAGUUGGUGAGGUAACGGCUCACCAAGGCGACGAUGUCUAGGGGUCCUGAGAGGGUUAUCCCCCACACUGGUACUGAGACACGGACCAGACUCCUACGGGAGGCAGCAGUAAGGAAUAUUGGUCAAUGGGCGCAAGCCUGAACCAGCCAUGCCGCGUGCAGGAAGACGGCCCUAUGGGUUGUAAACUGCUUUUGUCAGGGAAUAAACCUGUCUACGAGUAGGCAGCUGAAGGUACCUGAAGAAUAAGCAUCGGCUAACUCCGUGCCAGCAGCCGCGGUAAUACGGAGGAUGCAAGCGUUAUCCGGAUUCAUUGGGUUUAAAGGGUGCGCAGGCGGAUUGAUAAGUCAGGGGUGAAAUCCCACAGCUCAACUGUGGAACUGCCCUUGAUACUGUUAGUCUAGAGUAUAGUUGAAGUUGGCGGAAUGUGUCAUGUAGCGGUGAAAUGCUUAGAUAUGACACAGAACACCGAUCGCGAAGGCAGCUAGCUAAGCUAUAACUGACGCUCAUGCACGAAAGCGUGGGGAUCAAACAGGAUUAGAUACCCUGGUAGUCCACGCUGUAAACGAUGAUUACUCGAUGUUGGCGAUACACAGUCAGCGUCUAAGGGAAACCAAUAAGUAAUCCACCUGGGGAGUACGAUCGCAAGAUUGAAACUCAAAGGAAUUGACGGGGGCCCGCACAAGCGGAGGAGCAUGUGGUUUAAUUCGAUGAUACGCGAGGAACCUUACCUGGGCUAGA